AGGAAGGACAGAGGGAGGGAGGGAGUUGAACAGAGUUUAUUGGCUGUCUCUCCAGCAGAAAAUUCCUCUUGGAAGAGAUGGAUAUUUUGUGGGUGGGGGUGACUGGCCAAUCUCUUUAGUCUGCCAAGCUCAGCUUAGAAGGUGAGCCCGGGGCCGUGAGGCCAGAUCGAUUUAUAAGUCCGAGGCGCACACCCUGCAGGAGUUCAUCCAACGCACACCCGAACCCCCUACUCCAAGCCUCUGUCCACCCCGGAUCCCACCGGCAGCCAAGGCCCUAAGCAAGUCGGUUUCGUUCCGCCGCGGCUUCCCCCCACGUCGAGAGGGCACGCAGCUUGCCGGAGAAAGAAUGAAAGCGAGGGGGAGGCACCGAGACGCCCACCCUCCACCUCCGAUCCCGGUCUCGCCUCCAGCUAAGCUCCCUCCUCCCUCGGUCCCCAGCUCCGGCGGCGUGGCCGGCGACCUGCUCUCACCUCUGGUCCAGCGGCGGUCGGGUGCUGAACCCGGGGAGGCGGAGAGCUCGAGGCGACCGGGAGCUGCAAGGCGGCGCGGGAGGGCGCGGGGCGGGGCGGGGCGCUGCAGCCGGCGUGGAGCCCGGAACUCCGCGGGCCGCGGGCGGGUGGCCCGGGCGGCGGCGGCGGAGUGCAGCGCGGCGCGGCACGGCGCGGCGCGGGGCGGGAGGCUGGCGGCCACGGGGCCGGGGCGCAGGCUGGCGGCAGGCACCGGGCUGGAGCCGGGGAGACGGCUGUCGCGGGGCGGGAGGCGGAGGGCGGGGAGGAGGGCGGAGGAAACUUGCGGCGGCGCGGGGCUCGGCUGGGGGCGGCGGGGAGCCGGCGGCGGCAAAGUUCCCCCAGCGCUUGGGGGCGGCGGCGGCGGCGGCGGCGACCGGGAGCUGGAGCGGGAGGAGCGGGAGGAGGAGGAGGAGGAAGUGGCUGCGGAGCGCUCGGCCAAUGAGUGUCUGGAGCUGUGAUUAACCAGGCAGCAACACAUCAUUUCCUCCCGGCGCGGAUCCAGGGAGCCGGGAGGGAGAGGGCCGGCGGCGGGGCGGGGCGCUCCUCGCGCCCCCUGCAGGCGCCCGGCCCCAGGGAUUCCGCCCGCCUAGCCAUGCUCGCCCGCCGCCCCCGACCCCCGACCCUUCGGGCCGCCCGGGCUGUGGGCUGCUGCGAGCCGGGCUGGCGGGACGCGGGGGAGGCGCGCGGCACGGGGAGCGGCCAGGUGUAAGAGUGUUUUCCCUGCAUGUAUGUAAGUGCAUCACAUGUGUGCCUGGUGCCAGCAGAGGUCAGAAGAGGGCAACAUCUUCCCUAGAACUGGAGUGUGUGCCUGAAUGAGUUUCUGUGCACCGCGUCGAUUGGGGCGCCUGCAGAAGCCACAAGACUUGGAUUCCCUGGAACUGGGGUUACAGGAAGUUGUGAGCUGCCAUGGGGAUGCUGGGAACUCAACCUUAGUCCUGUCUGCAAGAGCAGCGAGUGCUCUUAACCACGAAGCCAUCUGUACAGUAGAGGCGAUAAUUCUGCCCACCUCAAGAGGGAGAUGGAGAUUUGAAAGGAGAGCUUGCAUCUGACCUCCAGCAGCAUGACACAGUGCACGGGACAUUUUCAGUAAAUAUGUCUGCUUAUAAUUAUUCCUCUGGCUUUAGUGUAGCGACAAUUUUGUUGUUCUGGUUUCUUUGAAAAAAAAAAACACAGAAAUGUUAUGGGAAUGUGUUUUCACUUUAGUCCCAGGUGUGGGAUACGGGGCUGCUUCAGAUUGUCCACAGCAGCUGACUAGGAUUUGCCAAAUGCUUUAGCCAGCUGCAGAUACUUUCUGUGAUUAUGCGAUGUUUGGAAUUAUGAGGACUCUUCAGAGGGUAUAUAAAUGCUAGCCCCCUCCCCCCCAGAGGAGGGUGCGUUGUUAGUGGGUUAUUGGUUGGCUGGUUGUUGUUUGUGUGUUGUUGGUUGCUGUUGGGCACGGUUUGAUAAGCAGUCAUUUGCAAAGAAGAAACAAGAAGAAAUUAGAUAUCCUGGCAAUGAAGACCAAACAUGCCCCGGGGAAAUCGAUGCACCUAAUCUGCAGAAAGUAGUUUAACCAUAACAUCGCCCCCUUUCAGAUCCCUGACUUUGUUCAGGGAUCUCUUUUCCUUUCUUCUCUAUCUUUUUUCUCUUUUAUCUAGUAUUUAGGGGGUUGAAAGGGUGGUAAGAAAAGCAUAGAAGGGUGGAAGAAAAGAGAACCCACAACGUAGCAAGAGGCUGUAUAGCUGAGUGUGGUGCUGAGCGCUUGACCCUUGGGCAGAGGUUUAAGGUCAUUCCUUGGCUACACAGUGAGUUUGUGGCCCCAUGAGAUCUUAUCUCAACGACUACCAACAAAAUGAUCCCCUUAUUUAGUAAUUGUGUGGUCUUAGCUUACAGAAGAAAAUUAUUCUGGUUAUCAUCACCAUUCCCUCAGACAUAGCAGAGUACUUGGAGAAAAGAGGCUGAGAAUGAUGGGAAAUGCAAACAGAGGAUGCAGAAGAGGUUUAUAAAAACAAUACUUAGCUCCCAAGAAGUUGCUGGGGGAACCUGUGUCAGAAAACGCUGUGUGUGCCUGGCUCUUCUGUACAAAGUUAACAAAGGAGAAGCUUCACCGGGCUCUCACACCUUGUACUUCUCUUCUGAGGUUCCGGUAUACAAAACAGGGAUGCUACUCAGUCUGUCUGUGGCAGGUGCCAGCCGAUGGAUGGAUUAGCAACAGGCACAUGAGAAAUGGCGGGGUUCACAAUUUCUACAUUAAUGGAGUAGAGAGCUAGACAUCCCAAGUUGACCUGGGGGGGAAAAAAAACUAACGACAGGUCUCAGCUACAGAUAUUUUUGUAGUAUGUCUGGGUUUUAAGAAAGCAGGGAUGGGGGAGGUGAGGAAGUGAACUUGCUGUGCACUAUCUCAGCACAGACAGCAGGCUGGGUGGCUUUCCCUUGCAUCUGCAAUGAGGGAAGACGGUGCUCCUAACAGAACUAUAGAAAAUGUGGCUUAAAGACUCAACUUACUGACCUACGAAACCAAGAAAACAGAGAAGCAAGCAGACACAACCAUGCGUGUGUGAUCCCUCCGCCUCCAGGAGUCUGUAGGCAGAUGAUAAUUAUCCUGGGGACCCAGAAAGUCUGUGCAAUCUGGAGGAGCACGAGAAUGUAUAUUUUCCCAAGGAAAUCCACAACCCUUCCUCAGAUGGUCGGAGAGGGCUGCUGUCCUCCACAAAGAACUAGAAACCCCUGCUGAGCCAGUGACCUCUGGUCUAUGCGUAAUGUCACACUGGGAACUUAUGGCUGAUACAGUAGGAAAAUGUUCCUAAAGGCCGUAAGGAAAGGAUGAAUGAAACUCCACUCUGCGCAUGUACCCCAGGCUAGCCUCCAACUUUUUAUGCCACAAGGAUGACCUUUUAUUCCUGAUCCCUUUACCUCCACCUCCGGAUGGUGGAUCACAGUCAUCCCCAGCACCUGUGGUUUUAUGCCAUACCAGAAAUGAACCUCUCGCAUGUGAGAUGAGCGCUCUACCAACUGAGCUACAUCCCUAGCCCCUAAUUGCUUCCUAAGCAGACUGUCUUGUACUCUUUUUGUUUUGUCAGAUUCCUGUUUAUUGUUUACUGAAUAUUCUUCCUUAAAUGUGUUCACUCUUCCAACUUUAAAUGCCUACGUUAGCUUCAGCCUAAGCAAAGAUAUCUGGGAAAUUGGGAGUAUAUUGUGCUCCUGGCAGUUUCUCUCUCUCUCUCUCUCUCUCUCUCUCUCUCUCUCUCUCUCACACACACACACACACACACACACACACCAAUGUACAGAAGGAAAGUGCACUGCAGAGCACAGAGGUGUGCUUGCGGUGUUUCUGAAAAUGGUUCUAGAUAUUCUAAGUUUCCCAUCUGGCAUCCAGUGUCCAGAGGAGGGACCCAGGGCAUGAGACAGUUAAUGCACUUAUUAAAGACGCUGAACAAAUAUGAGGAAAGCUAAGCCAGGUUAUGGGCAAGACUGAGUGUGUCCUCGGCUCAGCCUUGCUUGCCUGCCUUAUUGCUAUGCAGACAAUUGAAAGCAAUUUGAGAUCUCUCUCUCUCUCUGUGUCUCUGUCUCCCCCCACCCUUAUUUCCUCACUACCACAUAUAUAAGGAAUCAACAUCGACGAGACUAAAAACUUGAUCGUUUUAAUACUCUGGUAAUGAUCCCAGUGACUGAGGAGGGGGCGGGAAGCCAGUGAGUUUCUUUCUACUCAAAUUCCAUCUCAUUUUUUAUUUUCUCUUAAUGUUUUUUUUUUUUUUUUUUUUUGAAUCCCAAGUUCCAAAACCUGUCCCCUAUUAUGCAGUGCAAACGAGAACAGAUGGGGAAAAGUUAUGUUGGAAAGGGCUUUGGAGGGCCACAGAGAAGAGAAAUAUGACGACUCAAUGUGUCACACACCAACUUGCAGCUGCCACCAGCCCUUCCCCACACGAGCCGCGUAUGGAGCCAGCCCAUGGAGCUCAGAAGGAGCAGGCGUACUGCAGGAAGGGCGUGCAAUUAGAGAAUGUUCGCUCUGCCUGUGCUGCCUUAAAAAUAUGAAUAAAGAGUGGUGCAGCAGCCCCGCCAACAAAAGAGAGCUGAGUCCCAAGGCUGGCCUGCAAAAUGCUUAGCCGGUUCCCAAGCUAUCCCAAAUGGGAACUGGUAAUUGGUGCUACACAGCUUUUCUAUAUGGAAGGAAUGCCUCUGUGCCUCUCUGUGUUGCCACUCAGGUCUCUCGGAGGCUAGGAUUCGCUCACAGAAGGUCAUACUGGCUCACAUGCCUAAUGUGCCCUUCCAAAAAGUAUUUUUUUUUUCUGUAUACGCAGAGUGCGUAUGUGUUCCCCAAAUAUUUCAAGCUCUGCCACUCACAAGCUGGGAGGCCCCAGGCAGGUCAGGCAACUUCUCUAAUCUGGGGUUUCCUCCGUUUAGAAAGCAGAGGUCGCAUGCCUUUGUAUGCAAAUAACUGACAUGUAUGUUGCUCAGUUCGUGGCAAAUGUUAUUACUGUGAUGAUCAGGUAGCAUUGAAAUGUUCUCUUUUCUUAAUCCAAUGUAAGUUGCUAAGAAUAUAGUCUUAGCCAUAUGUGUAUAUAUACAUAUAUGUAUAUGCAUAUAUGUAUAUGCAUAUAUGUAUAUAUAAAUGGCUAAGAAUCUAAGAAUUUAUGCUAGGAGUAAUUAUAAGGUUAACCUAUUUAAGGGACUAGAGUGUCUCUCUAGGGUGAAGCCCAUAGUUGGCAUGCAUCACCUCGGCCUCAAUCCACAGCAACCCCUCCAGAGAAAGAAAAAUGGUUCAUGUGGUUUAAGUUAUUUGAUUCGAAUAGUGAGUGAUUAGGGCCGUAGAGACGGCAUCUAAUGUUGCAGACAGUUAGGCAAUUGACUCCAUCAGGAACCUCCCCUUAAACUGUACCUCUCAGUGUACAGUGAGUGUGCAAAUAUUUGGUGCCACUUUGAUAGAGAGAUGCUUUUUUUUUUUUUAGGAGCUUUUAAAAUGCAGUUAGUCAGUUAGUUACCCAAGCCUGCUUCAGAGUAUAUUUUCAGCAUAUCUAGGGUAGAGCUGAGAUCCACAGUUAAGAUAAAAAUGACUUGGCCGCCAAGAUGGCUCAGCCAAUGAAGGUGCCUGUCGCCUAGCCCUCGAACCUGAGUUCAAUCAUUGGGGCCUACUGGGGGGCGGGGGAGGGGAGGAGAACUGUCUUCUGCAGUUUGUUCUCUGACCUCUACCCAUGUGCACACGUGCCCCCAAUAAAUAAGUGAAUGUAAUUGGAAAA